rnacentral:rRNA from 1 species
CUAGCUAUAGGCUUAACACAUGCAAGUCGAGGGGUAACAAGGAGAGAGCUUGCUCUUUCUGUUGACGACCGGCGCACGGGUGAGUAACACGUAUCCAACCUACCGUAUACACUGGGAUAGCUCUUCGAAAGAAGGAUUAAUACUAGAUGUUAAGAUGUUCUCGCCUGGGAAUAUCUUCAAAGAUUUAUCGGUAUACGAUGGGGAUGCGUUCCAUUAGACAGUUGGUGAGGUAACGGCUCACCAAAUCGACGAUGGAUAGGGGUUCUGAGAGGAAGAUCCCCCACAUUGGAACUGAGACACGGUCCAAACUCCUACGGGAGGCAGCAGUGAGGAAUAUUGGUCAAUGGACGCGAGUCUGAACCAGCCAAGUCGCGUGAAGGAAGACGGAUCUAUGGUUUGUAAACUUCUUUAGUGCGGGAACAAAGCGGUGUCGUGACGCCGGAUGAGUGUACCGCAAGAAUAAGCAUCGGCUAACUCCGUG